rnacentral:rRNA from 1 species
AUUGAACGCUGGCGGAAUGCUUUACACAUGCAAGUCGAACGGCAGCACGGGGGCAACCCUGGUGGCGAGUGGCGAACGGGUGAGUAAUACAUCGGAACGUGCCCAGUCGUGGGGGAUACGUAGCGAAAGUUACGCUAAUACCGCAUACGAUCUACGGAUGAAAGCGGGGGACCGUAAGGCCUCGCGCGAUUGGAGCGGCCGAUGUCAGAUUAGGUAGUUGGUGAGGUAAAGGCUCACCAAGACGACGAUCUGUAGCUGGUCUGAGAGGACGACAAGCCACACUGGGACGGAGACACGGCCCAGAAUCCUCCGGGAGGCAGCAGUGGGGAAUUUUGGACAAUGGGCGCAAGCCUGAUCCAGCCAUUCCGCGUGCAGGACGAAGGCCUUCGGGUUGUAAACUGCUUUUGUACGGAACGAAAAGGCUCUGGUUAAUACCUGGGGCUCAUGACGGUACCGUAAGAAUAAGCACCGGCUAACUACGUGCCAGCCGCCGCAGUAA